UGCAAUGAUAAAGGCAGUCUCCAUGUGUUCUCAAGAGUUGCCAACAAUUGGCCUCCAGACUAGCUUGAAGGUUUCUGUAACCUCCCCAGAUAGCAGCUGGUCCAAACAAGCUUAAAAUAGAGAUUACCUGAGCUUCAAGUUGCUGGGAACUGGGAGAGUACAUGGCACAACUGAAACAGCAACCUCUGACCUUUCAUUUCUAAACGUCCACUACUGGUGAUUACCUGACACAAAGUACAGGAAUAGGUGGAUCUUAGUAAAAAUGUUGUAAACAAAAACCUAAGACCGAGCACACAAGAUUGAACAAAGUGUGGAAAGAAAAUGAUCUCUAUCCCAAUUGCAAGGAGUCAUGUGGAAGAGAAGCAAUUGAUAUGGCCCGUGGUCACUCAAGGACACCCUUUUACAAAGAAACAUCUUCAGAAAUUGGAUCCUGUGAGUUUGCUACAGCCUUAUACAGCUAACAUGGUAGAAACAGCACUCAUAGCAGAAGCUGUAGGUUUUAGUUGUAUAGGUUUUCAUGGAGUUUAAAUGCAGAGAUGAACUGUAGGGAUGGGAGCAACAGGAGACUGUUAGUUGAUUGUGAAGUUCGGAUGAAAGUUAUUAUAUACAGUUUCAGCUGACAGAAAGACAGAUGGCUCUGUUGCUAACUAUUCCUUACAUAUACAUCAGCCCUCUAAACACAUUGUGCAUCUGCUGUUUUUGAAAAUAUUAAAAAAAAAAGCACCUGAGCUUUCAACUUCCCAGUACGCAGUCAGUAGGUUAGAGGGAGAAGAGGAUGCUACAACUGUGAAAUUAAGCCUAACUCAAAGUUAAUUUACAGUGGUAAUAUAGUCAGUAUAUUUCAGUAUAUUUCUGGCCUAAUGUGAUACCCAUACAAAGCGUAUUGACCUGAUAUCUAAUUUUUUUUGUUCUUACUUGAAACCUAAAAUUUGGUUUCAAAUAAAAAUCGAUUCCUACACGGUUCAUAUAACACAAGCACUUUAUUGAAUUCUGACUGAAUCACUGUUGCUCAGAGACUGAAGGCCAAAUCCUGGCCCUGUGACAUGGGCCCAGGAGCAUUAUGUAGGAUGUGACAUUUCCCAGACCGUAGGCAACUCAGAUUUUAAGGGAAGAUGAAGGAGGUGGAUGCCUACCCUAGAGAGAUGCCCUAAAGGCAACAAAAAAGCAAAGUCAUGAAAGAGAACUAUGUCAUCUUUUCUAGCACAAAUGUUCUUUUUUUUUUUUUUUCCUGAAAUUUUCGAAAUCUGCUGCUGGGAUGUGCAGUGCAUUUUCAGCCACUCCCAGGCAACCAGAAUAGGGGUGUCACCUUUGCAAGUUGCCCCAAAGAGAAGCUGAGGCACCGGAUAAGGGAGCUGCUGGGUCAGCAACAGGGGACACAGGGGCAAGAGGAGUUGGAAGAAAGGGAGGCCAAGCGUGCAGAGCAUGCCAGGAAGGGACUGGCAGCUAGCAGAUGGAAAGAUUGGUUGUAGCAACAGGCCCUAAAGUUGGCUGCUAAGGGGUGAGGUGCUGGACUCUCCUGUCUGGAAAGCAUAGCCUCAAAAGAGGGGACUGUUACAGAAAAGACCACCGUGGGUCUCCUAGGAACACACCACUUCCACCCAGCAGGCUCUGGAGCAGCUAUGUCUGAUCAGCAGUCACAGAAGCAAAGCAAAAGCCGUAGGAGAUGGACCUGUGCACACCCCGCAGCAACAACUCCCCCAUGAAACCUGCUUCACUCACGUGGUCCCGACUGUUGACUUAAAUCUGUUGAGAUUUCCCAUCAGAAGCACCCUCCUCCACCUCUACAGCAGCAGCUCGGCCGUCACUGCAGCCUGCAACAGCCUCCACAACAUCGGCAGAGAAGCAGAGGUUGCCCCUCGCUGCCAAGCCCAUCAGAGCGUCUGUGCACGAGCGGCUGCCGGAGCCAGGGCUCCUCGCAGGCUCGCAGGGCCAGCGUCCCACUGCCACGGGCACUGAGCAGGGCAGCACGCGCAGAGGCUGAAGUGCUGCCGCUCCGGGUCUUGGGGCCACUCCUAGGGAGGAGGAGAGAACCUGAGUCUCUGGGCUGAAGACCUCGCAUGUCUUGUGAGCACCAUAUUCUCUGUAACAGCAGUGAGGAAGAAGAGCUUUCAGAGCUAACCAAGAGUUAACUGGCUACAUUUCAAGUGUCACCAUUGUCUUACAUCUACAUAGCGAGCGAGAGCGCGAGAGAGCCAGAGAGAUGUAAGUACAGCAGGCCACUGGGAAAAAACAUUUAUAAGUAGAAAUUUCUCCUCAGAAGCCUCAGAACAAAUCUUUCCAGUUUGUCUUGAUUUUUUCUUCUGCUAUGUUUUAAACACAACGUGUGGUGGAAGCGAUUGUUAUUAUCCAAAGGACCUUACUUGCUGGCUCGCUGCAUCUCUGUUUAUGAAAUGCCAUAACAAAAGUGAGCUCACGCUUGUGU